rnacentral:rRNA from 1 species
ACGAACCGUGCGAACGUUAUUCGGAAUCACUGGGCGUAAAGGGCGCGUAGGCGGCCUGAUAAGUAGGGGGUGAAAUCCUGCGGCUUAACCGCAGGGCUGCCUUCUAGACUGUCAGGCUUGAGCACAGUAGAGGCAGGUGGAAUUCCCGGUGUAGCGGUGACAUGUGUAGAGAUCGGGAGGAACACCGGUGGCGAAGGCGGGUCUCUGGGCAUCUCCUGACGCUGAGGCGCGAAAGCGUGGGGAGCAAACGGGA